GAGGACAUAGCUUAGUGACAGAGCAUAUGCUUAGCACGCAUGAGGUCCUAGGUUCAAUCCCCAGUACCUCCA
rnacentral:tRNA from 1 species